UCCAAAAUGCAGGCGCAGACGACACC
rnacentral:piRNA from 1 species